rnacentral:misc_RNA from 1 species
UCUCCGUAGGUGAACCUGCGGAGGGAUCAUUACUGAGUGAGGGCUCCGGCCCGACCUCCAACCCCAUGUGAACCGAAACCUGUUGCUUCGGGGGCGACCCUGCCGCUUCGGCGGUGCGGCGCCCCCGGAGGCCAUUAAACACUGCAUCAUUGCGUCGGAGUCUUAAUGAAUUUAAAAAAAUCUUUUAACAACGGAUCUCUUGGUUCUGGCAUCGAUGAAGAACGCAGC